UGGGGAAUAUUGCACAAUGGGCGCAAGCCUGAUGCAGCCAUGACGCGUGUGUGAAGAAGGCCUUCGGGUUGUAAAGCACUUUCAGCGGGGAGGAAGGCGAUAAGGUUAAUAACCUUGUCGAUUGACGUUACCCGCAGAAGAAGCACCGGCUAACUCCGUGCCAGCAGCCGCGGUAAUACGGAGGGUGCAAGCGUUAAUCGGAAUUACUGGGCGUAAAGCGCACGCAGGCGGUCUGUCAAGUCGGAUGUGAAAUCCCCGGUCUCAACCUGGGAACUGCAUUCGAAACUGGCAGGCUAGAGUCUUGUAGAGGGGGGUAGAAUUCCAGGUGUAGCGGUGAAAUGCGUAGAGAUCUGGAGGAAUACCGGUGGCGAAGGCGGCCCCCUGGACAAAGACUGACGCUCAGGUGCGAAAGCGUGGGGAGCAAACAGG
rnacentral:rRNA from 1 species